UUAAGUCCUUUAACGAGCGNAACCCCUAUCCUAUUUGCCAUCAGGUUAUGCUGGGAACUAUAAGGAAACUGCCAACGACAAGUUGGAGGAAGUGGGGAUGAUGUCAAGUCAUCAUGGCCCUUAUGGGCUGGGCUACACACAUGCUACAAUGGUGGUUACAAUAGGUUGCAAUGAAGCAAUUCGGAGCCAAUCCUUAAAGACCAUCUCAGUUCGGAUUGGGGGCUGCAACUCGCCCCCAUAAAGUUGGAAUUGCUAGUAAUCGCAAAUCAGCACGUUGCGGUGAAUACGUUCUCGGGUCUU
rnacentral:rRNA from 1 species